UAAAAGAUCUUUUAUGUCUUGGGUAUCAAA
rnacentral:piRNA from 1 species